CGGGACGGGUGAGUAAUGUCUGGGAAACUGCCUGAUGGAGGGGGGUAACUACUGGAAACGGUAGCUAAUACCGCAUAACGUCGCAAGACCAAAGAGGGGACCUUCGGGCCUCUUGCCAUCGGAUGUGCCCAGAUGGGAUUAGCUAGUAGGUGGGGUAACGGCUCACCUAGGCGACGAUCCCUAGCUGGUCUGAGAGGAUGGCCAGCCACACUGGAACUGAGACACGGUCCAG
rnacentral:rRNA from 1 species